GGCCGCAUGGCGCAGUGGCAACGUGCUUGCUUUUGGUUAGACACGUCCCGGGUUCGACCCCCCAUGAGGCAA